rnacentral:rRNA from 1 species
UACGGAGGGUGCAAGCGUUUAUCCGGAUUCACUGGGUUUAAAGGGUGCGUAGGUGGAAUGGUAAGUCAGUGGUGAAAUCUCCAAGCUUAACUUGGAAACUGCCGUUGAUACUAUCAUUCUUGAAUAUCGUGGAGGUAAGCGGAAUAUGUCAUGUAGCGGUGAAAUGCUUAGAUAUGACAUAGAACACCGAUUGCGAAGGCAGCUUGCUACACGAUCAUUGACACUGAGGCACGAAAGCGUGGGGAUCAAACAGG